GUGGCUGUAUUUGGUACUGGUUGCAUUGGUCAGUGGUAUAAUGUGAUCCUAAGCAGCUGCAUACAUUAAGAAAUGAUUCUUGCUGACAGUAUGUCUAGUUUAGGGGUCCCCGGCGCCCGCAGGGGCAUCUAAAUG